CGAACCCGGGUUUCCUGCAUUGCAGGCAGAUUCUUUACUGUCUGAGCCACCAGGGAAGCCACCUUUUAUUUGAUGCUCAGGCAUUAAGGAAAGCUUGAGGAUCUUUCAGACUAGGCUGACUGUCCUGCCUGUUCUUGUAGCGAACUCUGCCUACCUGAUACAAAGCACCACACCCCCAUCGCCCCUCUGCUGGGCUGCGUGCUCUAUGGUAGCAGAGCUGGGAGCUGGUCAAUGCCAUGUCCUCUGGCAUGUGGGAAGCAAUAACUCAAGCUUUGUUUGAUGAAGACGGGAGACAACCAGGAUGUUCAUGCCCCUGACUCAAAUGUCAACGCUAAUUCUCUAAGUGAUUUUUGGCAACAUUUUUUCAAAUGUGUAUGUAUUCUCUGGAAUUUUCUGUCUCCCAUACAGAUCCUAGUUCUUUCUUCUCUGCUUCUAAGCCUCUCUCUUCUUCUCCCUCUUGACCCAGAAUCCUGGGAGCCCUGGAACCUCAAAUCCUAGCUCUCUGAGGAGAGUCCAGCUUCUUCCAUCAACAUGGACCUCAGGACCCUGGUGUGAGAAAGGGCCUGGAAGAUAAGCCUAGACAUCUCCAACUGGAACUCGGGAUGAAUUCUCCCAUAGACCUACCUGUGAAUGGUGCCUGGCAUGGUCAAGGCUGAGACAACUAAAUGUGUGUUUUGUAUACACCCUCUAUGAAUCUGUGCUGGAUUGCCAAAAUAUGGAAACAUAAGUAGAAACACCUAGAGAGUGCCUGACCUUGUGAAAAAGACCUAUAAUUCCAAUUAAUAUUUUUUAAAGCCUAAGUUUGACUCCCCAAAACCUUUUCUCUACAGUAUCUUGAACCAUACAGCAUUCGUUCUAUUGACUAAGUUCAGCUGACGCAAAGCAAGAACGGAAGAAAGCAGUGGUGAUGGGGUGACUCAUCGGCCUUCAGUGGAGGCAAUUAUGUCGGGCACACAGAGUCUGUGGGAGCUGCCCUUCCACCGAGGGAGAGACAAAGCGCAGGGCGUCUCAGCACCGAGGGUCUGUGUCUGUCCACGCAGCCAGCGGCCCCGUGUAGGAUGGGAGUCACGAAGCUCGGCCGGUAGAGACUUCAGCAGCUAUAAAGAGACACUAGCCGGCCACCCGUGCAGCGUUCCUUUGUGGCAGACAAUGGCACUUGGGAAAUGCCACAUGCAUUAG
rnacentral:lncRNA from 1 species